rnacentral:rRNA from 1 species
UACGUAGGGUGCAAGCGUUAUCCGGAAUUAUUGGGCGUAAAGAGCUCGUAGGCGGUUUGUCGCGUCUGCUGUGAAAACUGGAGGCUCAACCUCCAGCCUGCAGUGGGUACGGGCAGACUAGAGUGGCGGUAGGGGAGAUUGGAAUUCCUGGUGUAGCGGUGGAAUGCGCAGAUAGUCAGGAGGAACACCGAUGGCGAAGGCAGAUCUCUGG